UAAGAUUGAGGGAUUGGAAGAGAUCUUUAGAAGAACUGGGGUCAUUAUGCCAACCGGGUGUCUGUGCUAAGCUCGGCAUGCAUAUGGUGACCUACUGGGAGCAGGGAGCCACCGGGUUGCCUAAGGAUGAGUGAACUGGCCCAGAUCAGAAAGGGAGCAGUUCAGAACUCCCACACCGACUGGUAGUGGGACUGUGCCUGGACCAUAUAGCAAGAUCUUGGUUCUUA
ensembl:misc_RNA Metazoa_SRP Metazoan signal recognition particle RNA